rnacentral:pre_miRNA from 15 species
GUAAGGGUCCAAACUGCUGAGGUGAAGCUGAAGAGAGCCGUCUAUUGACAGUUCAAGACCACGAGUCGUUGUGUGCUGUCAUGGAGUCGCUCUCUUCAGAUGAUCCGGUCAAUGGUAUUUUGUUUUAA